rnacentral:misc_RNA from 1 species
CGGUAGAAGGGAUGCUGGAGAGCUUAGGUAAGGUUCUCUUUUGUUGCUGUUGGUUAGCACACUUGAUGCUAGAUCCAAACUGCUAUUCCUCCUGUUUCCUCUACCUAUUUUGGUUUGUAAGAAAAAAAAAAAAAAAAGAAAAAAGAAAAAAAGAAGAGGAGCUGCAAACAUCAUGAAAAUACCCAAAUUUGUGAGGUAAAUUUCUCAAUUCCUAUCAUCUCUAUGACUUGAAAUUCUAUAAGGAAUGCCAAAGAGGCAAGCAGAAUUUACUGUGAUUGUUUGUCACAAGUUUAUAGAGUUAGAGAAUUCUGGGCAAAUCGUGAUAAUCUACAAGCGCAUGCAUGCGUGCAACCAAACACAUUCAAGGAAG